GACGUAGGGCGCGAGCGUUGUCCGGAUUUAUUGGGCGUAAAGAGCUCGUAGGCGGCUCGUUGCGUCGGCUGUGAAAACCCGCAGCUCAACUGUGGGCUUGCAGCUGAUACGGGCGGGCUGGGAUUCGGUAGGGGAGACUGGAAUUCCUGGUGUAGCGGUGAAAUGCGUAGAUAUCAGGAGGAACACCGGUGGUGUAGACGGCUCACUGGACCAUAACUGACGCUGAGACACGAAAGCGUGGGUAGCAAACAGG
rnacentral:rRNA from 1 species